rnacentral:rRNA from 1 species
UGUAGUCUGCAACCCGACUACAUGAAGCUGGAAUCGCUAGUAAUCGCGGAUCAGAAUGCCGCGGUGAAUACGUUCCCGGGUCUUGUACACACCGCCCGUCACACCAUGGGAGUCGGAAAUGCCCGAAGUCUGUGACCCAACCGGAAGGAAGGAGCAGCCGAAGGCAGGUCUGAUGACUGGGGUGAAGUCGUAACAAGGUACC